rnacentral:rRNA from 1 species
AUGGAUAUCCUCGUCUCUGCAAUCGUAGGCGACCUCAUCAGCAGGUCAGCUUCGUUCGUGAUCAGCAAAUACUUCCAGCAGCAGCCUGGCAUCGACCGGAUUCUGCGGAGGCUACAGAGUGUCCUACUGAGAAUCGACAUCAUCGUCGAGGAGGCCGAGGUGCGGGACAUCACCAACCAGGGGAUGCUCCGUCAGCUCAAGAUGUUGAGGCAAGGAAUGUACAGAGGCCGCUACGUUCUCGAUGCCUUGAGCUUCCAAGCUUCCCUCGACGAGAAGGAGGGGGAGGAGGAGAUGAGCCACUCCUCAUCUGCACUGUCUAAAGGCAGUUCAAUCAAACGCCUUCGUUUCUCUCACACACGUUGUGGUAGCAGCAACAGAGAAGCAGUGUUGUUCGGCACGAACAACAUGCGAGAAGAGCUGCAACGGAUGGUGGACACCCUUGAAGACACCGUGGCUGGUAUGAAGGAGUUUCUUUUCUUCUUGCAGUUAUAUCCUCGCAUCCUCCGCCAACCUUAUGGCACGUAUUUGCUAUUGGACAACUGCAUGUUUGGUCGCCAAACAGAACGGGAACGGGUCCUAAAUUUCUUGAUGUGUCCUACUCAAGAUUUGGCUGUACUUCCGAUCGUUGGUCCAAUAAGAGUAGGGAAGAGCACUCUUGUUGAGAAUGUCUGUAGGGAUGAGAGUGUGCGUGAUCGCUUCUCGAUGAUCCUCUUCUUUCCAAAAGGAAGUCUUAAGGAUGAAGGAGUGAUCAACCUGAGAGAAAACAAUAUUAAAUUCAGGCAUCAGAAUUUUGCUUCUCGAAACAGGUUGCUGAUUAUUAUUGAACUAGCCAAGGAUAUUAACGAGGAAACAUGGAGAAGUCUGAAAUCUUCCGUAACCUGCAUGACACCUUGUGGCGGGAGCAAAAUCAUAAUUACCAGUCGGUCAGAUAGAAUUGUGAAUCUGGGAACAACGGGAGCACUUCGACUGGACUAUAUCUCUCAAGAAGCUUAUUGGCAUUUUUUCAAGUCAAUUGCAUUUGGAAGCAUAAAUCCUGGCGAGCAUCCAAAACUGGCAACUAUGGCUAUGGAGAUCGCUUUGGAACAGAGACAGUGUUUCACAAGCGCGCAUGUUGUUGCUGGGUUACUGCAACAGAACUUCAAUGCUCAAUUCUGGUGCGCAGUUCUUGAAUGUGUACGAGCAAGUAAACAGGCAAAUCUCCUUAUGUUUGACCAUAACCCGUACCUUCGUUUGCGGGAAGAUGCACCAGUGUAUUGUUGGAGAUUGGUGAAGAGCCACAGAUAUUUCAUGCUUUGCAACUAUCAUCAGUCAGAUUCCAGUGAGAAUGUCCCUAAGAUCAAUCUGCGGGACAUUCUCUUAGGAUGUGGUGGUACACUACCCUGUGGAGAAUUUGAGGCUCUUGCAUGGAGGUCUCGCAUACCGCCCUACUACAACUACACAAUAAGCUGUAACAUGCAAGCACCAGAACUUACCGUGGGAAGGAAGAAGCGUGUGCAUCAAGAGGAAGAACAUUUUAUUUGA